GAUUCUGGCUCAGAACGAACGCUGGCGGCAUGGAUUAGGCAUGCAAGUCGAACGAAGCAGCAAUGCUUAGUGGCGGAAGGGUGAGGAACGCGUGAGUAAUCUGCCCUCAAGUUGGGAAUAACAGCUGGAAACGGCUGCUAAUACCGAAUGUGGCUGCAAGACCGCAUGAUUUUGCAGUUAAAGAUUUAUUGCUUGAGGAUGAGCUCGCGUCCCAUUAGCUAGUUGGCGGGGCAACGGCCCACCAAGGCGAUGAUGGGUAGCUGGUCUGAGAGGAUGGUCAGCCACACUGGGACUGAGACACUGCCCAGACUCCUACGGGAGGCUGCAGUCGAGAAUCUUGGGCAAUGCGCGAAAGCGUGACCCAGCCAAUGCCGCGUGCGUGAUGAAGGUCUUCGGAUUGUAAAGCGCUGUCAACCGGGACGAAAUUCUGACGGUACCGGUGAAGGAAGCCACGGCUAACUACGUGCCAGCAGCAGC
rnacentral:rRNA from 1 species